rnacentral:rRNA from 1 species
UUCCAGACUCCUACGGGAGGCAGCAGUGGGGAAUAUUGCACAAUGGGGGAAACCCUGAUGCAGCGACGCCGCGUGAGUGAAGAAGUAUUUCGGUAUGUAAAGCUCUAUCAGCAGGGAAGAUAAUGACGGUACCUGACUAAGAAGCCCCGGCUAACUACGUGCCAGCAGCCGCGGUAAUACGUAGGGGGCAAGCGUUAUCCGGAUUUACUGGGUGUAAAGGGUGCGUAGGUGGCAUGGCAAGUCAGAAGUGAAAGCCCGGGGCUCAACCCCGCGGACUGCUUUUGAAACUGUCAGGCUGGAGUACAGGAGAGGUAAGCGGAAUUCCUAGUGUAGCGGUGAAAUGCGUAGAUAUUAGGAGGAACACCAGUGGCGAAGGCGGCUUACUGGACUGUAACUGACACUGAGGCACGAAAGCGUGGGGAGCAAACAGGAUUAGAUACCCUAGUAUG